AUACGGAGGGUGCAAGCGUUACUCGGAAUCACUGGGCGUAAAGCGCGCGCAGGCGGGCUGAUUAGUUGGAUGUGAAAGCCUACGGCUCAACCGUAGAACUGCAUCCAAAACUGUCAGUCUAGAGUGUGGGAGAGGAAGAUGGAAUUAGUUGUGUAGGGGUAAAAUCCGUAGAGAUAACUAGGAAUACCAAAAGCGAAGGCAAUCUUCUGGAACACUACUGACGCUGAGGCGCGAAGGCGUGGGGAGCAAACAGGAUUAGAAACCCCGGUAGUCC
rnacentral:rRNA from 1 species